UACGAGAGGCCCAAACGUUAUUCGGAUUUACUGGGCUUAAAGAGUUCGUAGGCGGCGCGGAAAGUUGGGUGUGAAAUCCCUCGGCUCAACCGAGGAACUGCGCCCAAAACUACCGUGCUCGAGGGAGAUAGAGGUGAGCGGAACUUAGGGUGGAGCGGUGAAAUGCGUUGAUAUCCUAAGGAACACCCGUGGCGAAAGCGGCUCACUGGGUCUCUUCUGACGCUGAGGCACGAAAGCUAGGGUAGCGAACGGG
rnacentral:rRNA from 1 species